AAUUCUUAGCCAUAAAGCUGAUGACUAACACAGGAAUGGUUGGAAAGAAAAAUCUUUUUAAUCUGGGAAGGAGAGGGAAGGACGAAGGCAAGAAGGAAAAGAUCCAUAGAGCUCAUGAGUGUGGUUAUCAGCCCAAAUCAGAGCUUUUCGAGAAUCGGAAUUAGAACUUGGAUGUGUAUAGUCCCACUAAUGAACCAGGGCUCGUUCUGGGAAGUUCUGGAGGAAAUAAGCCCUAGGCCUGCGGCCCAACCUGGCCUUUGGGGCCCCAGGGGAAGGCUGCCGUAUUAAGGGGGCCCAUGCCCUCAUCGCUGCAGGAGACAAGGGAGCGAGCACUUGGCUGCGCCACAGAAAUUACUGCUGUACCUCGAAUGCCCGCUUCAUUUAUCAAUUUCAUAGCAGAAAAACCCAUAUGACUGCCUUGUUCACUCGCACGCUAAAUCUAGUCACAGAAAGCUCCUCACCGCCAGUCAAGUGUGUUAUGCGCGGGCUUAGAGAAAGUAACUUGAAAUACCACUAAUGAUUUAUACUUAAUUGAACCUCUAAGUGAUUAAAGUGGCAGUAAUGAAUGAAUAACACCCUCCUCGUUCCCUCACCCACUCGGCCCAGCGACUCCGGGCAGAGCGGGCCUCGCCUUGGGAAGUCAGCUACAAAGGCCGGCGUGAACCAUUCUCUCAGCUUCCCCCAAGCCGCUCAUCUGGGUCCUGGCUAAAUUGCUCUCGCUUGCAGCAAAUGACUCCAUAAGCACCAUAUCAGACCAUUGAUCCUUUUUAUUAGAUUACCCAAUUGUAAGGUUAAUGCAUUUGCAUUUGCCAAACGGAGUGGGUCAGCCUGAAUCCCACACGGGGAUCCACGUUUAAACGGACACACAGCCGAGGAGAGUGGCUCUGUCAACGUAUUGAUUUGUUGGAACAGGAACCAGCUGGAUGCUGAUACCCUUGCCUCAGCCCACCCCCUACCUCCAAAAGAAAGUGCAGGAGAACACACUUCCCGGGCUGUGUCUUCCUUAGCACAAACCCCCUUGACAGCCAGGAGGCCAACGCCAGCGGCCACCCACAAUACUUCUGUUUCUGGAAGAAAGAAGGGCCCUGCAAAGGUUUCGGUCACCUCAGACACAGACAAAGGUGGGCCAUUCACCUUGGACCAGGAACCUGGCUGCUUUCUCUAAAUGAGGGAGAGCCAGGACUUGUGACAAGGACACAAGCUUCAGAAGCCAAAAAUUCUUCUUUUCUGAACAUCAUAGAGUCAGACUGGGGCAGCCAUUUCUCCCUAGGUUUCUACACCUGACGUGAACUUAUUCUUGGAUUUUUGAAAUGCAUUAACCAAAUGCCAUUUAAGUGAUCCACCUUCAUAAGAAUUUUCUAAAGCAGAAACUGGGACUUGCAGAGGCCAAGUAACUGUCCAAUGUGACGCAGCUGGAAAGGGGAGAGCUGGAGCUCAAGCCCAAGCCGGUCAGACUCCAGGACCUGCGUUCUGUCACUCUGCCCCACUCCCAGGACUUGAAGUAUCUUUGGGCGGGGAACAAACCAGAGUUCUGCAGAGACUCUGGCUUCUCCUUCCCUUCCUCGUCUUCUAUUCCAUUAAGCCAACAGCCUCAGGAGCAGGCAAGGGAUAGGAAGGCGUUGGUCCAGAGCGAAAAGAGAGCUUCAGAUGCGAAGGGGAAAGAAAAUCACUGAGUGAGCAACAGUUGACCUUGAUUCCAGAUUAAUGGAGUAUAAAUUAACAACAAACGUGUGCAAUGUCCUGGAAGUCAGAUGCUUCUCCACACUCCCUCACUGUCCUCCGGCAAAAUGCUUCCUGUCCCUGAGCUGCUUUUCUACAAAUGUGAUGUGGGGGAACGGGGACUGCUGUCUGCAAGUCACCCUUGCCGUGGUGGGAACCCAUUCGGCCUGGCCUUUAUGCAAUGAAGGGCCUCCAGUUGAAGAUACAGACAGUGUCUCUGUUAAUAACACCAUUUUAUGGAAUUAAAUUUGGCGUCUGUUAAAAGUAUUCAUUAGUUGA